UUUAAAAUUGAUAAUGUUAUUUAAUGGUUUCAUGUAAAACUGGCAAUUAUGUGACAGAACAAAAAGUAUAUAUAGGACAAUGUGUUUCUAACAUGGACUAUCUUAGCUUGUCUGUAAAAUUCUAAACACAGCAGAAGACAAAGAGAUUAGAAGUGUAUGUGCAUACUAAUGUUCAUCAGCAUGUACCUGACUAGAAGUUUUUCAACCCAGAGAUGAAAAUGCAUACACACAGAAUGAAUAAAAUGGCAGCGGUAACCCUCAGAUAGCCAUUUUUACAAAAAAAACCCAAACCCUAAACCAGCAUCUAAGUGAGGUCACAAUUUGUUUACUGAAACAUAAGAAACUUAUAAUUAAACACAGUGCUUCAGAUUUCUCUCUGACAAGAAAGCAAUGACCUCUAGAUACAGAUGUAUAUCAAGAAAUAGUAUUUAAUACUGUAGGAUUACUAAUGUGUUAUCUUUUAUUACAGAGGCUGCUUAAAUCACUUGUAAAGCUGAUAUAACGAACUAAACAUAUAGAGAAAUAAAGAUUUUUUCAAGGAAGACAAAAUUUCUGUUCCUUCACGUUAUCGCAAAAGAUUUGAAAAACAACAUGUUCUGGCCUUAAGUAUCAGACUUACAUUUUGUCUUUUGUUACCACUUACAAUAGCACUGCUGCUUGAAUACCCAGCAAUAUCAAAUGUAAGUUAUUUGUAUAUCUCUAUCCUCUCGGGAAAUCUUGACCUUGAAAUAGAAUAAAUAUGUAACAUGUGUAUUGGCUUUGCGUGUUCAUAGCUAACACCACCAGAGCUAAAAACCAUAGACAUUGAAGAAAAACAUGCAGAAGAUGAGCUUGUGCAGUGCUAUUUGACUCAUUGUUGCAAAAUGAGAAAUUACAGUUUAAACGUUUUGCUGUCUUUGAAUGACCCUUCAUUUGUAAUUGAUUCAGCUCAACAGACUAUAACUCUAAACCCAUUGAGAUAUGGAACUUAUUUGUCCCAUGUUUAGAGUAUGCUUCAGUCACUUUACCAAAAUCAGACUGCACAGGAUAGGACCUUCUCUUUUUGAGUGCUUUUUAAAUGUGCCAUAUUAACUUAGUCUGAGAUGACUGGUUAUUCAGUCCAUUAGGAAUAAACAGACCAUAUUUAGCAUUUGUUGACCAGUGGAUUACACAUAAACUAAAACCUAUAAAUGAGCCCACAAUGUGGGGAAAAAAAAAAAAAAUAAA
rnacentral:lncRNA from 1 species